rnacentral:tRNA from 1 species
UCCCUGUCAGUCCAGUGGUUAGGACCCUGAGCUUUCACUUCUGGGGGCCUGGGUUCAAUCCCUGGUCAGGGAG